rnacentral:lncRNA from 1 species
UUGUUUAGUUUCUGCUGCUGGAGGGGUCGUAAGAUCAUCGAUGUCUAUCGCCUUCGUGGCUACUCCAGGUUCUUCUCCUUCGCUGAUUACUGCUGGUUUUUCGGUUUUGCUAGCGGCUUUUGGAUCCUCUUGUAGCAGCGGACUCUCUUCCUCGCUGGUGGGAGUCGUUUCCUCGACUUGCUCUUUGUCUUCCUUCUGAGCGUCUGCUAGCUCGUCUUCGACAGUGAUGGGAGCUGCGUCAUCUGGAGCAGUGAUAGCUUUGUCUUUGGCUGGUGUGAAAUCUUCUGGUACUCUUUCAGCUUCUUUCUCUUUCUCUUCCUCUUGAGUUCCUUCGUCUUUGGCAGUGAUGGGAGCUGCUUCGUCUGGAACAAUGAGAUCUUUGUCUUCGCCUGGUGUGGAAACUUCUGGUACUGCUUUCUCUUUGUCUUCCUCCUGAGUUUCUGCGAGCUGAGUUCCAUCGUCUUCGGCAGUAAUGAGAGCUGCUUCGUCUAGAGCAAUGUCGCCUUUGUCUUCGGCUGGUGUUGUUGCUUCUUCCUUGUCGUUCUCGUGGAC